rnacentral:rRNA from 1 species
UACGUAGGGUGCGAGCGUUGUCCGGAAUUAUUGGGCGUAAAGAGCUCGUAGGCGGUGUGUCACGUCGAUCGUGAAAACUUUCAGCUUAACUGGGAGCUUGCGGUCGAUACGGGCAUCACUGGAGUUCGGCAGGGGAGACUGGAAUUCAAGGUGUAGCGGUGAAAUGCGCAGAUAUCAGGAGGAACACCGAUGGCGAAGGCAGGUCACUGGGCCGCAACUGACGCUGAGGAGCGAAAGCAUGGGGAGCGAACAGG